UAUCUAACUUGCGUUUCAGGAUUUAAAAGAGGAGCAGAUCCAGGAAUGCCAGAGCCCACCAUACUAAGUUUGCUUUGGGGAUGAGGAAGUUCCAUGCAGGCAGUCACAGCUUUGAAGAGGAUGUGGCGACUAUUAUAAAUAGGACUUGUUCAGUAUAAUGAGCACUGGCUAUUUGUCCAUCAAAGAUCUGACACCAAUCUAUUGGGACAAAUGCAUAUUUUAUUAAAUGUACGUCUUUCAUAUUAUUGACUGAUAUAGCUUUCAUGCACAGGUGGAUAUUGUUUAUAGAGGGCAUGAAAAUGUAGUUUCUGAUACAGCUGCCAAGCCAAAUAUUUACAUGUCAAACUCUUCUGGAGAAUGAGAAAUUUCCACACCUGUGCACUGGAGCCAGUUUUUCAUGACUGAAUUGAAUGCAUAAAGAGCAUUUUUUCACAUAAACAACUCAAUUCAUUAGCACAAAUGUUGCUUCUUGUAAAAAUGUUUCUGAUUUGUUUGCAUACUCCAUCUUAUGUAUAAAAUAUAUAUCAUAUA